GAAGGAAGAGGAAGUGGCCGUUCCUCACCUUGCCCAUGCUCGCCCUACUCACACUCGCCCGUCUACCAUACACUCGCCACUGCCCACUCCCUCUGCUGUGUUUUCUGCUGUUUUCCAUGUGAAUUCAUUGCCAGAGUUGUGUAUCAGAGUGCCCGAGGCCACUCGAAGCUACGUAGAUCAGCAUGCCACGUAGAUCAGCAAGCCACGUAGAUCAGCAAGCCACGUAGAUCACACCACGUGGAUCAUGACGCCACGUGGGUGUGGGCGAUGUCACGUGGAUCUACCAGCCACGUGAGUUACCAGAUGUCCCAGGCCUCUUGCUGUGGUCUGCUGCCCGCAUCACAUCGACGUCACCCACGAUGCUGGCCGACUUCAUGUCACGAUGUCUGCUGAUGUCACCUCGAGAUGUCUGCUGACGUCAUAGUGCUGCUGACGUCAUCACGCCUGACAUCACACGACGUCACAUCGAGUGUUUCUUGUAAUUAUUUCAGUAUUGUCUAGAAGAUUGAGAGAAAAUAUAUGUCGUGUGUUAAUUAAUUCCUCUCAGUCAGUGUUCUCACAUGUUAGUGUACCGCGAUGUGUUUAAAGUUGCCGUGUGUCCAGUGAGGUCUGAGCCAGACCUGAGUAGCACCACUGUGUUAAGUCACCUGUGUGACCAGUGCGUAUGACAGCUGAUGUCACGACAGCCCCGAGUGACCGAGCCCUCUUGUACAGAAAGCUUUUAUGCUCGUCGCUCGUGAUGUUCUGCAGAAUCGUACCUGCUACGAUUCCCAUCGAGAUUUGUUCACUUCACCUCCAGACCUUCAGAGUGCAGUUAUAUGCAGAGAAACAAGUCUGGGGACGCUUAGACUAACCUCUGCUAUAACUCCAACUGUCGAGAGAAUGACACACUGUCAGCCUCGUGUCACAAGCUUCAGUGAGCAGCCUGCACAAAGAUGAUGUCAUUUUGACUGCUAGCUCUCUCACUGCAGUCUGGUGUAUGAUGUUACGACUCCCAGAUGUUUCGCCCAGUCGUCUGUGCCACGACUCGCUCCACAACUCUCUCCACGCUCGCCGGCAGUGACAGCCCAGCGACAGUACCAGUCGAGAAGUGUCCUCCUGAGUCGCUUGCCAGAAGCCCUGCCCAGUUGCCGAGUUUUGUCGACGCCUCACUCGAGGGCACCAGCAUGUCAUGCCCCAGGUUGAGUGAAAACCUGCAGCGACUCCUACGAUGACUGCUUCACCGUUCCAGAGACCGUACCCUGUUACGUCACAGCUCAGCCGCAGCGAUGUCUCCUGUGUUGCAGUAUCUGUCCAGACGCAGGAAGGCGUGCAGUGAUGCACUUAGACGCUCAUUGCCUAUGACCACGAUGUUUAGCACACCCCACAUGUUUUUUCUUCCCUCCCUGUAGGAAGUUUUUUUUCCAUGUCCAUAUGUAUAUAUAUGUUUUUAUUUUGUGUUCUGUGACCUGUUUCUACGAGAGAGAGGCCGAGUUUCUUUUACCACCAGUAUUGUCGCGUCGGGACGAUGUGCGGUAGGUGGCCGAGCAUAUGUAGACAGCCUGUACUGUCUGCACAGACAGCCCAUGCUGUCUGCCAGCUUAGUUCAUAUUUCGCGCCACUCAGAUGCUGCCCUCUGUAGCCAGGCCUCUCGGUAGGCACGCCAGCCUGCCGGCCCUUGCCACGCCCUCACUCACACAGCAGCCUAGCAGGAAGACACAAGUACUCCCAGCUCUCUCUCGUGGGAUGGCCCUGCCCGGGCCAUGGGCACAAACACACAAGCCUCUGCACCCACCACGACCUUUUAAUAAAUUUGUCACAAUGGAAGACUUAGUUGCAGCACCAUCACCCAGCACAGUGUAAAUGAUUUACACCCACUUCAACAACCAGUGGAUAUAAGUUCCCAUACACUACUGAAAUACUGUAUAGACAUGGAUAUGAAGUCUACAGGCAUCAAUAUUCCCAUCUUCAUAAACUAGUGGGCAUAAGUUCAAUUAUUGAUGUAGUUUACUUAUAUUGAUAUGGUAUUUCACAUACAUUAUCAGCAUUUGUUGUGUUGAACCUUAUUAUAAUUUAUAAUCUAAGAUUAUUAUGUAAAAAUUUGUUUAAUUACUUUGCAAGACAUUUAUAUUGACUCCUAAUAGAGUGAGUAAAGAUAAUUUAAUAUUUUAUAGCUAUACUCUUAGUCUUCGUUAAACAGUUGAAUGUUACAUAGCCAGUUCUCCAGAAUAUAAUACACAGGGUUAUGUAAGAUUGUUAUUUAUUGACUUGCACAGAUUAUUGUAGUGAAUAAUCUGCAUUACUUUCUCUACUGACUGUGAGUGGUGUAUUGUAAUAAAUGACUAAGAUAAUACUGAUUUCAGACACAGAACCAUAUCAGUGUUCCAAAAGGUUAAAAGAGUUUUCUAUACCAUCAAAUCUAAUAUAAUACAGAGUUAAUACCCAAGAAAAAUGUAUUGAUAGUAUGAGACU